AGAGAUCAAAAAAGAACUUUUUGGAUUGUAAAAAAAACUCUUGACUUUUGAAAGGAAAACCAAUCGAUCAAUAACUAUAAAAGCGAAAAAGGAUUUACAUUAUCAAAUUCUAGGAGCCUAAACUCAGAUUUGGGAUAAGAGGAUUGGAUUUAAAGGGGUGCUUGAACUUUCAAACUUGAUCUUGCUCAUUUUCUUCAAGGAAGGUAAUAUCCGAACGCCUAACUUCACAUUUCACUUCAUUUCUUCCCUUUUUGUUUGGUAAAAAUCAAUUUUUAAGCAUUUGGACGUGAGAGAGACCAAGGAUCAUCCAGGAUAUUUGUCUGCUAGUCGUGUCUGGUUAUUCGUGGCAUGCCGAUGUACCUGACGCCACACACUGUAUCAUCCAUUGCAUGUCGUUUCUCAAUGGACAACAAUCCUUUUCUCUUGUUCUUACCCCGUUCCACAUUUUCUAGUAUGUGAAACUAGGUGCGCUAUUACGUAAGGUGCACAUCAUCACUGAGGGUGCAUGGGGUUUCUAUUUAGAAAUGUAUUUUUUUGUGUUUUUUUUUUUGUAAUUAAAUAUGUUAAUGUUUAUUUCAUCGAUUCCUUGAUUCUGACAUCGAUACUUGGGUCUUAGAUGAUAGCUCAAAAUCAUUGGAAUCACUUAUAUUAAUAAAAUUCAUGGAUUUUGAUAUGGAUAGCCACAAUCCUUCUUUCCUUCAAGGUUAGAUUUUCAAAAGCUUGAGUUAGAAUCCAU
rnacentral:lncRNA from 1 species